UACAGAGGUCUCAAGCGUUGUUCGGAUUCAUUGGGCGUAAAGGGUGCGUGGGUGGCGCCGUAAGUCAGGUGUGAAAUCUCGGGGCUCAACCCCGGAACUGCACUUGAUACUGCGGUGCUCGAGUACUGGAGAGGAGAUUGGAAUUUACGGUGUAGCAGUGAAAUGCGCAGAUAUCGGGAGGAACACCAGUAGCGAAGGCGGCUCGCUGGGCCGUUCCUGACGCUGAGACGCGAAAGCUAGGGGAGCGAACAGG
rnacentral:rRNA from 1 species